CAAUAGCGUAUAUUUAAGUUGUUGCAGUUAAAAAGCUCGUAGUUGGAUUUCGGUUGAGAACGGCCGGUCCGCCGUUUGGUGUGCACUGGCUGGUUUCAACUUCCUGUAGAGGACGCGCUCUGGCUUCACGGCUGGACGCGGAGUCUACGUGGUUACUUUGAAAAAAUUAGAGUGUUCAAAGCGGGCUUACGCUUGAAUAUUUCAGCAUGGAAUAACACUAUAGGACUCCUGUCCUAUUUCGUUGGUCUCGGGACGGGAGUAAUGAUUAAGAGGAACAGUUGGGGGCAUUCGUAUUUCAUUGUCAGAGGUGAAAUUCUUGGAUUUAUGAAAGACGAACUUCUGCAAAAGCAUUUGCCAAGGAUGUUUUCAUUAA
rnacentral:rRNA from 1 species